UCCUAUACAAUCACUGAAGUGAAGCAAUAUUGAGCCUGGUCAGUACUUAAAUGGGUGACCACUUGGGAAUACUAGGUGCAGUAAG